UACUUAUCGAUGAGUCGUUGUUGUUCAUGUUGCGUGGAAUCUAGAUACAACGAUUGUAUUCCCUGAAGAUCAGCUUUUGCAAAGACUGUUCACUCCAUCACUUGCUCAGAAAUAUGAAGAACUAUACCGUCAAAAUGGCGUUAAGUUUGUCAAGGUAAGAUAUCAACCCACGUCAAUGCCUUAGACUGAAGCCUUUGCUUUCCUGCGAACCUAAGAAUUUCAAGAACACAGUGAGUAAACUUAGGCCAUGAACAAAUCUAUUGGAGGAAUUCAGCUGUUUACACAGCAAGAUGCUCACUGAACAUGUCCCCAGCUUGGACUGAUACAUUGCAGUUCAACACCGGCUACACAGAAUCUGAGAUUAUGGACUGCUCAAAGCUUCUUGCUUUUCUUCACUGGAGAUGCGGUGAGAGCAGGCUACGUGCGUACAAGAAGUAGUCAAAGGCCGAGAAUUGGAGGUGUAGCUUUGGUUUCAGUAGCGAAGUAUUUCUUGGGCGCUGCUUCUGAUCUGAAGAAGCCUGCUUUUUCUUAUUGGGUUUAGACAAAGGUUUAUCUUCAGCUUGUCAAAAGCUUGGUUCGAUUAAAGUAGAGAAAAGGAGUGAAGAGGAUGAUGAAACUGCAAGCAAAUCACUGAAGAAAAGGGAGAUUCUUUAUGAUUUUGAGGUUAACAUGAUUGGAAAUACUGCAGGGAAGAAGAGUAUGAUCGAUGGUGAGCAACGUAAUGAGACGCAAUGAGAAGUUGUGCAGAGAAGUUAAGAAGGAAGAAGAACUUGAUGAAAGAUUGAAAAAGAGAAAGCUUGGAGUAAACGAGAUAGAGCUGAAGCUUGAGUCACGAGUUGCUGAGACGGAGAAGACUUCGGCCAUGAUUGGAACGGAGACGCACAUUGUCUAGUCUUUGAUAGUUAUGGUUUGUUUGUUUUAAUUAAGUUUCGCUUUAAUCUUUUUAUUUGUAGUCUAUUAGGAAACAAAACAGCAAUGUCUCACACAGAUAAAUUCUGAAAUGCAAUAAUUUCUCUU